AAUAGCUCUAAAAGCACACAAUAAGAGACACUAAUAAAUGCAUAUAAUGCAUUAUAUGCAUUUAUUAGUGUCUCUUAUUGUGUGCUUUU